AACGAACGCUGGCGGCGCGCCUAAUACAUGCAAGUCGAGCGAGAAGGUGUAGUAAUACACUUGUAAAGCGGCGAACGGGUGAGGAAUGCAUGGGUAACCUACCCUCGAGUGGGGAAUAACUAGCCGAAAGGUUAGCUAAUACCGCAUACGUUUCCGGAACUUCGGUUUCGGAAAGAAAGCAAUACCGUGGGUAUUGCGCUCCUGGAUGGGCUCAUGUCCUAUCAGCUUGUUGGUGAGGUAACGGCUCACCAAGGCUUCGACGGGUAGCUGGUCUGAGAGGACGAUCAGCCACACUGGCACUGCGACACGGGCCAGACUCCUACGGGAGGCAGCAGUAAGGAAUAUUGCGCAAUGGACGAAAGUCUGACGCAGCGACGCCGCGUGGGGGAUGAAGGUCUUCGGAUUGUAAACCCCUUUCGGGAGGGAAGAUGGAGUGGGUAACCACUUGGACGGUACCUCCAGAAGCAGCCACGGCUAACUUCGUGCCAGCAGCCGCGGUAAU
rnacentral:rRNA from 1 species